UUUCCAGAUUUGUUUUUCGUCUACAUAGUUUCUGCUGGGUCUUGAUUUUAAGUUUGCGUAAGUAAAUAUCACGAGUGGUGAAGAUGAAAAAGCUUAGAUUGACAAGCAGCGUGUGUAGAAAAUAUUAAAUAGAUGCAAUGCGUGAAUGAAUAAUUGGAUGUUAGAAUCAAUUCAUUUCUCAAUCUUCGUGAAUAUGUUGAUCUUUUCAUACCCACAAACAUCUAGAAAUUCUGUUGGUACUCCAUUUUCAUUUAUACUACCGAAAAUGGGAAUUCUUGUGCAAAAUUUCGAUGUAGUGCUCAAUGAUAAUCUUCGUUCAUCAGAUUUUACCCUUCACCAGGGACGCCUUGUUUCACGUUGAAAUCACUGUUUCAAUUCAAAGGAACCCUGGUCAUGGCUCGAAACCCAGAUGGGUCAUUUCAAAGUGUUUUUGGGGUUGAAGCAAGAAAGGAAAAAAACCUUAGAUACACGAGCUCUAUUGAACAAAAGUUGAAGCUGGGACUCUACUAUGAAGAGAUGAAUCUGUUAAAAGAAUUGCAGGAUCAUUCUAGUUAAUAUUUGUUUUCUUACUCUAAUAUUUUAUAUUUGCAUAGAAUUGUUUGAGUAAUAGAUUGCAUAUUAAGCCCUUGUUUGAGCCACAUUAUUUUCAUAAGAUUGCAUUUUUAAAUAGUGUAUUGAUAAGAAAUGUGUAGUUAAAAAAUAAGGAAAAAUUUUAAAAUUGCGUGUAAUAUUAUUUUAUUGAAGAAUUUG